GUACAUCCAGAGGAACUUGGCAGAGAUGCCUUGGUGCCUUCGGGACCUCUGAGACAGGUGCUGCAUGGCUGUCGUCAGCUCGUGUUGUGAAAUGUUGGGUUAAGUCCCGNAACGAGCGCAACCCCUAUCCUUUGUUGCCAGCGAUUCGGUCGGGAACUCAAAGGAGACUGCCGGUGAUAAACCGGAGGAAGGUGGGGAUGACGUCAAGUCAUCAUGGCCCUUACGAGUAGGGCUACACACGUGCUACAAUGGCGCAUACAAAGAGAAGCGACCUCGCGAGAGCAAGCGGACCUCAUAAAGUGCGUCGUAGUCCGGAUCGGAGUCUGCAACUCGACUCCGUGAAGUCGGAAUCGCUAGUAAUCGUAGAUCAGAAUGCUACGGUGAAUACGUUCCCGGGCCUUGUACACACCGCCCGUCACACCAUGGGAGUGGGUUGCAAAAGAAGUAGAUAGCUUAACCUUCGGGAGGGCGUUUACCACUUUGUGAUUCAUGACUGGGGUGAAGUCGUAACAAGGUAAGCGUAGCGAG
rnacentral:rRNA from 1 species